CGGACGGGUGAGUAACGCGUGGGCAACCUGCCUUACACAGGGGGAUAACACUUAGAAAUAGGUGCUAAAACCGCAUAAGCGCACAGCUUCGCAUGAAGCGGUGUGAAAAACUCCGGUGGUGUAAGAUGGACCCGCGUCUGAUUAGCUUGUUGGCGGGGUAACGGCCCACCAAGGCGACGAUCAGUAGCCGGCCUGAGAGGGCGGACGGCCACAUUGGGACUGAGACACGGCCCAGACUCCUACGGGAGGCAGCAG
rnacentral:rRNA from 1 species